rnacentral:tRNA from 1 species
GGUGGCUCAGUGGCAGAGCGCUUGCCUUGCAUGCAAGAGGCCCUGGGUUCGAUUCCUCAGCACCA